AACGAACGCUGGCGGCAGGCCUAACACAUGCAAGUCGAGCGCACCCUUCGGGGUGAGCGGCGUACGGGUGUGUAACGCGUGGGAACGUUCCCUUCUCUGCGGAAUAGCCUUGGGAAACUGAUAGUAAUACCGCAUACGCCCUUUUGGGGAAUGAUUUAUCGGAGAAGGUUCGGCCCGCGUUGGAUUAGGUAUUUCGUAGGGUAAUGGCCCACCAAGCCGACAAUUCUUAGAUGGUUUGAGAGGAUGAUCAGCGACACUGGGACUGAGACACGGCCCAGACUCCUACGGGAGGGAGGAGUGGGGAAUGUUAGAAAAGGGGGGGAACCAUGAUCGAGCCAGGACGGGAGAGUGAUGAAGGCAUUAGGGUUGUAAAGCGCUAGCAGCUGGGAAGAUAAUGACGGUACCAGCAGAAGAAGCCCCGGCUAACUCCGUG
rnacentral:rRNA from 1 species